ensembl:lncRNA
UCUCAUUUGUAGAAAGGGUGGAAGAAAUGUCCACAGGGAUUACAUGAAUAGUCGGGUAGUCAGCUAUUCAAAAUGAGAGCUGUUGAUAGUACUACCAAGAUCAAAAACAGGAGAUGAUUAGAAACAAGAAUUACCUUCUCCCACUCCCAGCCAUCAAAAGGUCAAAUGUCAGGUGCUUUAGGCCAACAAACGGCUUAAAGGAGCCCUCUUGCUGGACAAGUCACCUUUCAUGUUUUCCUGUGUCCCCAGCAGAGGACUUCUGAAAUGUGCCAAAGCCAAAGGACACCUUCUGCCCUGGAACCAGCUAGGCUUAAAGGUAUCUUCCCCAGAGGAGUGGGAGUUUUUUGCUUUGUCUAUUUUUGUUGGCAGAGGAGUGCUACAGAGUACUGAUUCUCUCCACCCUAGAGGAGAGGGCAGAGUAGGGGGAGAGAGGGGCAUACAUGGGUCCGGCUCUGUUAUGCUUAGAGCACGCACUUGGCAAGACAUGAAGAACUAUGUCUGACUCCAGGCCUUGAGCUAAGCACUCUAACCCCUCCAAACCUCCCAGCCACCCCAGGAAGUACUGUAUCACCUUAGUGAUUCAAGGAGGAAACAGAAGUCAGAAGAGAGUCCAUGGCAACUAGUAAACAAAUGGUCCAGCCCGGAUCCAAAUGGUGUUCUCUUUGGCCCAAAGCCAAGGCACUUUCCCAGUCUGACAGGUUUGGCUUCUAGUCCUGGCUGAGGCUCCAGUAGAAAUGGCUGUGGUAGGUGAGACAGCAUGGGGCAGUGCCCUUGACUUCAUUCUCUGAAAGUGUAUUUGAACAUUGAUUUGGAGGAAGAGCUUAAGGUGUGAGCAGUGAUGCAGAGGUGAAGCCUGAGUGGUUCAAAGAUGACAAGAUAAUGUGAUCAACCAUAAGAUGGGAUGGAAAGAAAAACAUCCCAUUCAAAAAUAGAAAUUGAUGCAUGGCCUUGAACAGAAUUUGUCAUACAGUCAGUCACGUCUGGGUGAGGAGCAAGGAUGUUAUGGACAAUUCCAGCACCUGUAUCAUUUCACCCUCAAUAAAGAACAUCUGGAUACUAGAAGUUUCUUAUCUUGGCACCAGAGUAUAAGGCUGAACUUUUUUUGUUUUUGACUGUCAAAUGGCUCAGGAAACAAUUAUCCAUGGACCAACCACACAGACAUAACACAAGAAACUGACGAGAAAAACAGAAAGUCAGAAAAUCCUCCAUGAGAAGAUUAUCUGGAAAGUGAAAAAGCAACUUAGAUGUAAAGCUUUAUAAAACAAAAUGUGAACAGCUCAUACCCAGUUAAGUGUUUUGGUUAUUUUUUUCUUCAUCUUUCAAGUGUAAUUUAAAAUUGACCUAUUUCCAAAAAGACUUAACAAUGAAAAAAGAAGAUAAUGAACAAUACAACUAGAGAUAGUUUUUUAAAUUACAGCAAAGGAAUGGAAAAG